rnacentral:lncRNA from 1 species
ACAAAAUAAGAUAAAAUAAAAAAUAUAAAUUAGAUUGCGAAUUGUAAAUAAGUAAAUGAGCGAAUAAAUAAAAUAUUAAAAAAGACAAUUAAUAAACCCUUUUUCUUUUUAAAAAAAACAAAAAAAAUGAAGUUAAACGGCUAAGGAUUAAACUGAAAUUGAAGUGAAAUUCGGGGGUUUAAAAUUGCAAAUAAAACAAAAAAAGGAGCUC